GAUGAACGCUGGCGGCGUGCCUAAUACAUGCAAGUCGAGCGAACAGACGAGGAGCUUGCUCCUCUGACGUUAGCGGCGGACGGGUGAGUAACACGUGGAUAACCUACCUAUAAGACUGGGAUAACUUCGGGAAACCGGAGCUAAUACCGUAUAACAUGUUGAACCGCAUGGUUCAACAGUGAAAGACGGUCUUGCUGUCACUUAUAGAUGGAUCCGCGCCGCAUUAGCUAGUUGGUAAGGUAACGGCUUACCAAGGCAACGAUGCGUAGCCGACCUGAGAGGGUGAUCGGCCACCUGGGAACUGAGACACGGACCAUACUCCUACGGGAGGCAGCAGUAGGGAAUCUGCCGCAGUGGUGGAGAGCCUGACGGAGCAACGCCGAGUGAGUGAAGAAGGUCUUCGGAUCGUAAAACUCUGUUAUUAGGGAAGAACAGAUGUGUAAGUAACUAUGCACGUCUUGACGGUACCUAAUCAGAAAGCCACGGCUAACUACGUG
rnacentral:rRNA from 1 species